GACGAACGCUGGCGGCGUGCCUAAUACAUGCAAGUCGAGCGAGCGGCGGACGGGUGAGUAAUGUCUGGGAAACUGCCUGAUGGAGGGGGAUAACUACUGGACACGGUAGCUAAUACCACAUACCAUCAGAUGUGCCCAGAUGGGAUUAGCUAGUAGGUGGGGUAACGGCUCACCUAGGCGACGAUCCCUAGCUGGUCUGAGAGGAUGACCAGCCACACUGGAACUGAGACACGGUCCAGACUCCUACGGGAGGCAGCAGUGGGGAAUAUUGCACGAUGGGCGCAAGCCUGAUGCAGCCAUGCCGCGUGUGUGAAGAAGGCCGUCGGGUUGUAAAGCACUUUCAGCGGGGAGGCGUUACCCGCAGAAGAAGCACCGGCUAACUCAGUGCCAGCAGCCGCGGUAAUAC
rnacentral:rRNA from 1 species